UACGUAGGCGGAUUAAUAAGUCAGUGGUGAAAUCCCGAAGCUCAACUUCGGAACUGCCAUUGAAACUGUUGAUCUUGAAUUUGGUUGAAGUGGGCGGAAUAUGACAUGUAGCGGUGAAAUGCAUAGAUAUGUCACGGAACACCGAUAGUGAAGACAGCUCACUAAACCAAUAUUGACGCUGAGGUACGAAAGCAUGGGUAGCGAACAGGAUUAGAUACCCUGGUAGUCC
rnacentral:rRNA from 1 species